rnacentral:rRNA from 1 species
AACACAAACCCCGGCGCUGAAUGCGUCAAGGAAUUUAAAAUUUGCUAUGAGCGCACCUGCAUGGCACCGGAGACGGUUUUUGUGCGGGUUGUGUUCUGACACUUAAUAUAGAAUGACUCUCGGCAACGGAUAUCUAGGCUCUUGCAUCGAUGAAGAACGUAGCGAAAUGCGAUACUUGGUGUGAAUUGCAGAAUCCCGUGAACCAUCGAGUCUUUGAACGCAAGUUGCGCCCGAUGCCAUUAGGUUGAGGGCACGUCUGCCUGGGCGUCACAUAUCGAAGCCUCUCGCCAAUUUCCUAUAUUGAUAGGGGUAUUGUGCAGGGCGAAUGUUGGCCUCCCGUGAGCUCUAUGGCCUCAUGGUUGGUUGAAAAUCGAGACCUUGGUAGGGUGUGCCAUGAUAGAUGGUGGCUGUGUUACGCACGAGACCAAGUAAGUCAUGUGCUGCUCUAUUGAAUUUAGGCCUCUUUUACCCACAUGCGUUUCGAAACGCUCGUGAUGAGACCUCAGGUCAGGCGGGGCUACCCGCUGAAUUUAAGCAUAUCAAUAAGCGGAGGAAAAGAAACUAACAAGGAUUCC